CCAUGGCAGAGUUUGUUUACUCAGGGCCUUCCUGUAUCUCUCCUCCCGUGUCCUUGUGGCAAGCAAGGAAGGUGGGAGUGACCACACCGGGCAGGACUGUGGAGGGUGGGGCCCUUCAUGCUGGUGACCUACAUGUCAGAGAGCCGGUGAGAAAACAUGUUCGAGGGUGGCCAGCGUUUCCAGCUGUGAAAUCAGGCACUUGUAGCCAUGGGAGGGAGUGUGAAAGGAAGGCUGUGCACACACUGGGCGUGGGUCUUAUCAGCCAAGAGUGACGCUGGAUGCGGGGCAGGUGGGGAGGAUGUGGCGUCUGUGCACUGUCUCUUUAAAUUUGAAGCCGGAACCCAGGCAAGAUCUCUGCAGUGAAGAAGAG